ACAAGCACUUGUCAUCAAAGACUUCUCUAGUACGUCUAUGCGAUGUAGUUUCUUUCUGUGUAACAAGUGGGUAUAAAGCCGGAAAGAGAAGUUGGAUUGGUAGGAAUAAAUGAGUCCAAGUAUCGAGCAAUACGAGAUAAGACAUAACAAAGGAAUCGUUAUAUCGAAACCUACCGUUUUAUAAAACUCUUAUACAAAAUAUAUACAUAUAUAUAGUUUUAUGUGCGAUAUUUUUUUUAUGCGGAUCGAAUAUACAUAUAUAUAUAUACAUAUGCAUUUUCUACUUCUAUUGUACUAUUUAUUCACUUCUACUAUGUAUUUCACAGAUAUAUAAUUUUUUUGUCUUAUGAA